AUAAGCGGAGGAAAAGAAACCAACAGGGAUUGCCUCAGUAACGGCGAGUGAAGCGGCAACAGCUCAAAUUUGAAAUCUGGCCCCCUCGGGGCCCGAGUUGUAAUUUGCAGAGGGUGCUUUGGUGUUGGCUGUGGUCCAAGUUCCCUGGAACAGGACGUCGCAGAGGGUGAGAACCCCGUACGUGGCCGCCAGCCUUCGCCGUGUAAAGCCCCUUCGAAGAGUCGAGUUGUUUGGGAAUGCAGCUCUAAAUGGGAGGUAAAUUCCUUCUAAAGCUAAAUAUUGGCCAGAGACCGAUAGCGCACAAGUAGAGUGAUCGAAAGAUGAAAAGCACUUUGGAAAGAGAGUGAAACAGCACGUGAAAUUGUUGAAAGGGAAGCGCUUGGAGCCAGACGUGCCCGCAGUUGCUCAGCCGGGGUUCUCCCCGGUGCACUCUUCUGCGGGCAGGCCAGCAUCAGUCUGGGCGGUCGGACAAAGGCCUGCUAAACGUACCUCCCCCCGGGGAGGACUUAUAGGGUGGGUGGCAUACGACCAGCCCGGACUGAGGACCGCGCAUCUGCUAGGAUGCUGGCGUAAUGGCUGUAAGCGGCCCGUCUUGAAACACGGACCAAGGAGUCUAACAUCUAUGCGAGUGUUUGGGUGUCAAGCCCGAGCGCGCAAUGAAAGUGAACGCAGGUGGGAGCCCCUCGGGGUGCACCAUCGACCGAUCCUGAUGUCUUCGGAAGGAUUUGAGUAAGAGCAUAGCUGUUGGGACCCGAAAGAUGGUGAACUAUGCCUGAAUAGGGUGAAGCCAGAGGAAACUCUGGUGGAGGCUCGCAGCGGUUCUGACGUGCAAAUCGAUCGUCAAAUUUGGGCAUAGGGGCGAAAGACUAAUCGAACUAUCUAGUAGCUGGUUCCUGCCGAAGUUUCCCUCAGGAUAGCAGUAACGUUUUCAGUUUUAUGAGGUAAAGCGAAUGAUUAGAGGCAUGGGGGUUGAAACAACCUUCUCCUAUUCUCAAACUUUAAAUAUGUAAGAAGUCCUUGUUACUUGAUU
rnacentral:rRNA from 1 species